rnacentral:rRNA from 1 species
GGGCCCGCACAAGCAGCGGAGCAUGUGGUUUAAUUCGAAGCAACGCGAAGAACCUUACCCAGACUUGACAUCUCCUGAAUAGUGUAGAGAUACAUGAAGUCCUUCGGGACAGGAAGACAGGUGGUGCAUGGUUGUCGUCAGCUCGUGUCGUGAGAUGUUGGGUUAAGUCCCGCAACGAGCGCAACCCUUAUAAUUAGUUGCUACCAGUUAGAUGAGCACUCUAAUUAGACUGCCCGGGUUAACCGGGAGGAAGGUGGGGAUGACGUCAAAUCAUCAUGCCCCUUAUGUCUGGGGCCACACACGUGCUACAAUGGUGACUACAAUAAGAUGCAAUACCGCAAGGUGGAGCUAAACUUAUAAAAAUCAUCCCAGUUCGGACUGCAGGCUGCAACUCGCCUGCACGAAGCUGGAGUUGCUAGUAAUCGCGAAUCAGAAUGUCGCGGUGAAUACGUUCCCGGGCCUU